GAGGACAUAAUUUUUUCUCAAUUCAUAUUUGCAAAUUGUUUAUUGAGAGUCAGUGUUGUAUAGAGGGAUAAACAUAGAUUUGGAGAUAUAGUCACUUGCCAAGUUGCACCACAGAUUCCUCUGGUAUAAAAUGAAAAUAAUGUGACUCUACAGGAUUGAAUAAUAAUUAACUGAAGUAGUAUAUAUAGUACCCAUCACAGAAUAGGUUUGUAACAAAUGUUAGUUUUGUAAAAAUGUUUUGUCCCGUCAUAAUUUUAAAAUAGGUAAAUUGGACAUUUUCUAUUUUUCUUUAUAACAUAAAUCCGAUAUUCACAUGCAGUUUUUUUCCAACUUUUAUUUUAAGUUCAUGGGUGCAUGCGCAGAUGUGAAGAUUUGUUAUAUAAGUAAAUGUGUGUCAUGGUGGUUUUGCUGCACAGAUCAUCCUAUCACCUAGGUAUUAAACCCAGCGUCCAUUAGCAAUUCUUCCCGACAGCUACAGUUUUGAUUAUGUGCAGCUCUCAAUUGGGUUUUCCCCGUUUAAGAUGUUAGACCAGUGGUUCUCAACCUUGACUAAUUAGAAUCAUGUAAGGAGCUUUUAGAACUCCCAUUGCUCAGGGCAUCCCUCCAAUCAAUUAAAUUACCAUCUCUGGGACUUACAUGUUCAUGUUUUGUGUUCUCUUUUUUAACUCCCUAAGUGAUUUUUAUAUGGAGCCAAGAUUGAAAAUAGUGUUAGACAUGCACUUUCCCAAUUUAUGCUUUGAAAACAAAGACCUUAGUUCAGAGACUUAUGAGAUAGGGUUAUGAUUAGGGGAAGAGUAGGCCCCACAAGUUUCAGGUUAGUGAAGAUUCUGAAGGGUACAAGCUAUAAAGGAGCCUGAGUUUCUGGGAGAACUCAGAAACAAGGAAUCCUAGAAGGGCUGAGAGCAGAACAGCCAAGAACAGAACAGAACCUCGGAAUAGUCUCUGAAAUAAAAGAGUGGAGAGUAUAAGAAACAGAAUGGAGGCAGGCCCCAGGAGGAUUCAGUCAGGAAUUCUGACCUUGGGGACAUAAAUAGGUUUCAUAUCUUCACAGAAAGGUUUACACAACUUUUAUAUAUCAUUUUCUGAGAUGUCUGAAUCCUAGAAAAAGAUAAAGAACAUCAGUAUGUGAAAAAGCCAAGGGCUAAGGUAAUGGUAAUCAGACUACAGUUCUAGAAAUGCCUCUGGAUCUUUAAUACAUGACGGGCAGCUCUUCUAAACCUCUAUGUUACCUCUAUUAGAAUAUUAUUUCUGAUGUAGUUUGUGGAGACACAAAGCAGGAACAGAGGAGAACACUGUAUACAGUAUACUUUAUAAGCACUAAAUAAAUAUGUAAAAACUCUGAAAUAUAAUCUGAGUUUAUAGUCAUAAUGAAGAUUAUUAGCUCAAUAAUCUAGGGUAGAGGUGUCCAAUCUUUUGGCUUCCAUGGGCCACAUUGGAAGAAGAAUUAUCUUGGGCCACACGUAAAAUACACUAACACUAACAAUAACUGACGAGUUAAAAAAAUCACAUAAAAAUCUCAUAAUGUUUUAAGAACGUUUGUGAAUUUGUGUUGAGUCACAUUCAAAGGCCCCCUGGGCCACAUGUGGCCUGUGGGCUGCAAGUUGGACAAGCUUGAUCUAGGGCAAGUGCUCAACAGUGGCUGCACAGUUAAAUCAUAUGUAAAGCUUUCAAAAAGUAAGGGUGCCUAAUUCCACUCCUAGAGAUUCUGAUUUGAUUGGUCUGACAUGGAGCUGUAACAUCAAUAUUUUUAAAUUUUUCCAUAUGAUUUUAAUGUGUAACCAGCAUUGAGAACCAUUAAUCCAGAGGAAACCAGGACUCCUGCUAAUCUUGCACAACUUGGGUACCCUCAAAAUAUAUGGUAUUGGCAAAGUUAAUCUGAGCCUAAGUUCCAGCACCUGUAAAAGAUGGUAAGAAUUUCCUGAAAGAGGUUGUUGUGAAUAUGUACUCUCCUGGGUUUAGUCCUUAGCUUUGCAAGAAAUCCAAAAUCUUCAAGAUGAUCAGCCUGAAAUCAGGGACUCACUAACCACAAACAAACUUGAAAGUGGCUGAUAAAUAACUAACUGGAAGGAUGUUACUUUAAUGUUUCUCACAAAGCCUGUGAUAAUCAUUUGCCAUAUUUGUGAUCAUAGAAAUUUCUUGUCCCUGCCCCAGAAACAUUGAAUCAUGUUCUCCAGGGGAGAGCCUGGGAAUCUAUAUUUUUAACUGACACCCCAGUUGAUUUUUAUCAGAGAAGUCUGGGAAACAUUGUACUUUAAGUUAUUGUAUUGUCAUUCUGGUAUUGAUUUAUGGUAAGAGGAGAUACAUAUUUCCAUUUCCUAGUUUUUCUUGAUGUCUGUCAUCCAGGGUAUCCUUUUCUUGGUAUCAAAGAAUAUGAAAAACCAAUUAUAAUCAGAAAGUGACUUAGUAUGCAUGAAAUUAGAGCAUAGAAAAGGAUAGUUUUGAGGGAACAUUUCAUUCAUAUUUUGACAUAACCUGCUGAGUUUUCCUGGGCCCGCAAUAGCCAGUAGUGUGCAGCCUCAUGUUCUUCAGAGUCAGCAUCUUUCUUUCCCCUUGCAAGCAGUCUCCUGUUUCUAUGAAUAGUCUUUGCUCAGACAAGGCCAAUAUACUUGAUAAUAAUUAAUUUAGCUUCUUUUAAAUGAUUAGGUCACUUUUUGGUUUAAAAGAAGAUUACCGUGGUUGUCCCUAAAAUCUUUGCAGGUACCAAUUUAUUUCCUCCUCCCUAGGGUCAGAACGAUUUCAUAUUUGGCUUAUGAAAUGUAUUAAUUUGCUUCUUUUGAUCAAAGAUAAAGUGGAAGGGUGAUGAGAUUUUUAAAAAAUUAAUGUAUCCCUUGCUUCUAAUUCUACCUACAAAGCAGAAUAGUGUGCCAGUUACUAUAUAGUUCCUAGUGUAUAGCUUUUGACUCUUUUGAAGUGGUAACUAGUAGUUUUGUUUUAGAAUUUUGCUUUCAGCUUUUAUCCUGAGAGUGGGGCUCACUGAACCUCUCUCCUUUCUAAAAUCUGUGGAAAUUACUUUUGGUAACUAAGGCACUGCAGUGAUCUCAGGUAAGAGAGUAAAAAAUUUGCCUUUAUUUGUUUUUAAUGUUGUGGGACGUUUCAGGUUUUGGUUGGGUGGAAACAGAGUUGGGGCAAACAAAAAGAGACUGGUUAAGAGAUUCAGAGGCAAAGGUUGGUUGGCCAUGCUAAAUUUCAGGUGCCUGUUGCACCUCCAUGUAGCAACAGUAAGUAGACAGAUAGCAGAUUCUUAGGGAAGAAGUUAAGCUAGAGAAGCAGUAUGGUGUGGUGUAAAGAAUUCUGGGCAUUCAAUUAAGAGGGUGGGCUCUGAGAGGCUAACACUACUACUAACUUGAUCGACUUUGACCAAGUCAUUUGACCUCUCUGGGCCCCAUCUUUAUUGGAAAAUGUCAAGUAGAUGGUCUCUAAUAAAUUCUUGUCCAGUUCUAACAUUAUGUGAUUCUAAAUGUAUUUAUACUGACCUUCUUAACUUGAACUCUUUGUUUUUUCAGCAUUUAGUAUGAGAACCUAUGUUUGCCAUAUUUGUAGUAUUGCUUUUACAUCUUUAGAUAUGUUCCGGUCCCACAUGCAAGGAAGUGAACAUCAAAUUAAAGAAUCCAUUGUUAUCAAUCUAGUGAAGAAUUCAAGGAAGACACAAGACUCUUACCAAAAUGAGUGUGCAGAUUACAUCAAUGUGCAGAAAGCCAGAGGACUAGAGACCAAGACUUGUUUCAGAAAGAUGGAAGAGAGUUCUUUGGAAACCCGCAGAUACAGAGAAGUGGUCGAUUCCAGACCCAGACAUAGAAUGUUUGAACAAAGACUCCCAUUUGAGACUUUCCGAACAUACCCAGCACCAUACAAUAUUUCACAAGCAAUGGAAAAGCAGUUACCUCAUUCAAAGAAGACAUAUGACUCUUUCCAAGAUGAACUUGAAGAUUACAUCAAAGUACAGAAAGCCAGAGGACUAGAUCCAAAGACUUGUUUCAGAAAGAUGAGAGAGAACUCUGUGGAUACUCGUGGGUACAGAGAAAUGGUUGAUUCUGGACCCAGAUCAAGAAUGUGUGAGCAAAGAUUUUCACAUGAGGCUUCCCAGACCUACCAACGACCAUACCAUAUUUCACCAGUGGAAAGCCAGUUACCUCAGUGGUUACCAACCCAUUCAAAGAGGACAUAUGAUUCUUUCCAAGAUGAACUUGAAGAUUACAUAAAAGUGCAGAAAGCCAGAGGACUAGAGCCAAAAACUUGUUUCAGAAAGAUAGGAGAUAGCUCUGUAGAAACACACAAGAACAGAGAAAUGGUUGAUGUCAGACCCAGACAUAGAAUGUUGGAGCAAAAGCUCCCAUGUGAGACUUUCCAGACCUAUUCGGGACCAUAUAGUAUUUCACAAGUAGUGGAAAACCAGUUACCUCAUUGCUUACCAGCUCAUGAUAGCAAACAGAGACUAGAUUCUAUUAGCUACUGUCAACUCACCAGAGACUGUUUCCCAGAAAAACCAGUACCCUUGAGCCUUAAUCAGCAAGAAAAUAACUCUGGCUCAUACAGUGUAGAAUCUGAAGUUUACAAGCACCUCUCCUCAGAAAACAAUACUACUGACCAUCAAGCAGGUCAUAAACGGAAACAUCAGAAGAGAAAACGACACCUAGAAGAAGGCAAAGAAAGGCCAGAGAAAGAGCAGUCCAAGCAUAAAAGGAAAAAGAGUUAUGAAGAUACAGAUUUAGACAAAGACAAGAGCAUCAGACAAAGGAAAAGAGAGGAGGAUAGAGUCAGAGUCAGUUCAGGAAAGCUUAAGCAUCGAAAAAAGAAAAAAAGCCAUGAUGUACCCUCCGAGAAAGAAGAACGUAAGCACAGGAAAGAGAAAAAGAAAUCUGUUGAAGAAAGGACAGAAGAGGAAAUGCUUUGGGAUGAGUCUAUUCUUGGAUUUUGAAUGUUUAGUUUUGUUUACCCAAGGUUGAAUUGAAAAAAAAAAACAGUCAAUAUGGAUUUAGAAAAAGGAACAUCUGAUGAAGAAAAGGAGAGGUAGAUACAGUCAGUGUCACUUCAGGACACUUAGGGUUUUUUUGUAUAAAAAUUUAAAUUGAAUUAAAACAAGGAAAAAAAAAAGCCCAAACUUAACCUCUGAGAAAGAACAUAAGAACUCAAGGAGAACAUAUAAGAGAAAAGGAAACCUGUUAAAGAAAAGACAACAAUCUGUGUUUUGGAAUGAGUCUAUUCUUGGGUAUUGAACUUCUAGUUUUGUUUGCCCAAGGAUUAAUUGAGGAAAUCAGCUAAGAAAAUUGACUUAGACAAAAGCAAGAGGAUCAGAUGAAGAAAAGGAGAGGUAGAUAGUCAGUGUCACUUCAGGAAAGCUAUUUAAAAAAACUUGAAAUUUAAUUGAAAGAAGAAACAACAACAAAAAAGCCUAAACCUAGCCUCUGAACAACACUAACAUGAGAACACAAGAACUUAAGAGAAAAAGAAACCUACUCAAGAAAAGACAGAAGAGACAGUGAUUUGGGAUGAGUCUACUCUAGGAUUUUCAACUUUUUCGUUUUGUUCCUUCAAAGUUGAAGGAAAAAAAGUUUGGUUUUAUAAAAUUCAUGUUAUUGGAAUUUUUCUAGGUGGAUGGCUACUUUAAUCUCUAAAAAAGCCAAGUGAAGUAAAAGUAUUCAAUAUGUCUUUUCCUCAAGUUACUUUCCUUCAUUUUCUUAAAAAAGAAAAAAAUUAUUAAAUGUUUCUCACAUAUCUCACAUAUAAUGUAAUUUCCCUAAAUGAAGUUGUCUCUACUUCUGCUCAUC
rnacentral:sRNA from 1 species